GACGAACGCUGGCGGCGUGCCUAAUACAUGCAAGUAGAACGCUGAAGGAGGAGCUUGCUUCUCUGGAUGAGUUGCGAACGGGUGAGUAACGCGUAGGUAACCUGCCUGGUAGUGGGGGAUAACUAUUGGAAACGAUAGCUAAUACCGCAUAAUAGCAGUUGUUGCAUGAUAACUGUUUGAAAGGUGCAAUUGCACCGCUACCAGAUGGACCUGCGUUGUAUUAGCUAGUUGGUGGGGUAACGGCUCACCAAGGCGACGAUACAUAGCCGACCUGAGAGGGUGAUCGGCCACACUGGGACGGAGACACGGCCCAGACGCCUACGGGAGGCAGCAGUAGGGAAUCUUCGGCAAUGGACGGAAGUCUGACCGAGCAACGCCGCGUGAGUGAAGAAGGUUUUCGGAUCGGAAAGCUCGGUUGUAAGAGAAGAACGAGUGUGAGAGUGGAAAGUUCACACUGUGACGGUAUCUUACCAGAAAGGGACGGCUAACUACGUG
rnacentral:rRNA from 1 species